rnacentral:rRNA from 1 species
UACGUAGGUGGCGAGCGUUGUCCGGAUUUACUGGGCGUAAAGAGCGCGCAGGCGGUCGUGUAAGUCGAAUGUGAAAGCCCCCUGGCUCAACUAGGGAGAGUCAUUCGAUACUGUUCGACUCGAAGGCAGGAGAGGGAAGUGGAAUUCCGGGUGUAGUGGUGAAAUGCGUAGAUAUCCGGAGGAACACCAGUGGCGAAGGCGACUUUCUGGCCUGUUCUUGACGCUGAGGCGCGAAAGCUAGGGGAGCAAACGGG